rnacentral:sRNA from 1 species
UUAAUAGACCCAGUGACAAAAAUCCUAUUUGUACACAGAAUAGAUACAGCAGCCACAGUAGCAGGGUUCUCCCAUCACUCAACCAGUGCAUUUCACCUCUGAUCCAAAAAAACCACCCCUAGGGGUGAGAGUAUAAAUCAGUCUUCAUGCCCAUCCAAUCCGUGGCUUCU